CCCAACAUUCCAGCUACCCAUUCAUUAUUCGAUGCUCAGCAGAAUCCAAGAAGAUCAGGACACCUGGAUCUUUGUGAUUUUGGAAAACCAGCAGAAGCAAUUGCGAUAGCAUACGCAGCUCCUGCGUCUCAUCCUGGCGAGAGGUUCAGCACAAGAUGCAGUUCCAAGUGAGUUGCCAGAGGGGAUAUCUUUCCCCCUCAAAACUGUGGUGGAUUUGGCAGCCUUCAAAGAGCGAAAGUCACAAGCGAAUGCUGCAACAUCCGUUGUAAAAUACUUGGCAGAAUAUGGUGGGAGUGACACAGUGGACACGUUUUCGCGGAUAAUGAAGACUGUGUUGACAACAAAUCUGGACCGCCAAUACAACCUAAAGGGAACCAAACAAAAAAGAAACUGGACAGACUCCACUUGAUAAACA